AUAUCUCUCCGUACGGGAAGGAUGAGAAGCUUCGACUAAAGUUCGAUUCGAGCGCAGCGAGAAAGCGUUGCCGCAGGCAACGACCCGAAGGGUGAGGAGCGGAGCGACGAAUAAUCCUUCCCCCACCACCA
rnacentral:sRNA from 3 species